GCCUCACACUGUGCAGGAAGGGAGUGGAGGUCAGGCGUUGGGACCCGGGGCUAAUAGCAUCCACGAGGGUUAUAGAGCCGGAGGGGACACACAGAAACUGGGGCACAGAGAGGCGAAGUCACAGCAUGAAAGUGGCUGAGGAGAGGCAUCAGAGCCCAGAUGAUGGGGAAACAAGCCACCAAUGAAAUGACUUGUCCAAGGUCAUGUGGAUAGGAAGUUAUGGAAUUGUGACCAGCACUCAGUUCUGCCAGUGCCCUCGCUUACCAAAGCAGUCGUUCAUUUCAAGGAAGACUUUGCUCAGGCAGAGGGAAGACCCAGAUGAAAGCGGGCAUUGGAGUUUAUUCUUGAUUUACAAGGAGAAAGUGAGCUAUUGAAGGCUUUUGGAAAGGGGAGUGACCUGAAGAUAACUGUAGCCAUCCCACAGAGAAAAUCGAUGGCUUGGCUUGUGUGUACCCUGACUGCUUCGGAUGAGCUUUGUGCUUCGGCCUCUCAAUAAAGGACAUGCACAGCCAGAGGCUUCUGGAUGAUUCCCAUGUACCAUCACCCUUCACACCCUCAUUCUUCCUCAUAGGAGGAACAUACUCAGAGGAGAAAAAGGAAAGAGUGAGUGGGUAACCCCUGCCUGCUUCCUUCCAGGCUCUUUUGGAGAGGUUAUUCAGCCUUUUCAGGAGGGAGCUCUUUGUGGCCUGUGCAAAUGCUAAAGGUGGCACAUUGCAUGGAUAGAGCACUGGGCUUGGAAUGAGGAAGACUCAUCUGCAUGAGUUCA